UACGUAGGGUGCAAGCGUUGUCCGGAAUUAUUGGGCGUAAAGAGCUCGUAGGCGGUUUGUCGCGUCGAAUGUGAAAACCCGGGGCUCAACUCCGGAUCUGCGGUGGGUACGGGCAGACUAGAGUGAUGCAGGGGAGACUGGAAUUCCUGGUGUAGCGGUGAAAUGCGCAGAUAUCAGGAGGAACACCGAUGGCGAAGGCAGCUCGCUGGCCUACAACUGACGCUGAGGCGCGAAAGCGUGGGGAGCGAACAGG
rnacentral:rRNA from 1 species